GGGGCCGUGGCGCAGUUGGGAGCGCGUCAGACUGGCAGUCUGAAGGUCAGGGGUUCGAAUCCCCUCGGCUCCACCA
rnacentral:tRNA from 1 species